rnacentral:rRNA from 1 species
CCUACGGGGUGCAGCAGUGGGGAAUAUUGGGCAAUGGGCGCAAGCCUGACCCAGCAACGCCGCGUGAAGGAAGAAGGCUUUCGGGUUGUAAACUUCUUUUAUCAGGGACGAAGCAAGUGACGGUACCUGACGAAUAAGCCACGGCUAACUACGUGCCAGCAGCCGCGGUAAUACGUAGGUGGCAAGCGUUAUCCGGAUUUACUGGGUGUAAAGGGCGUGUAGGCGGGGAAGCAAGUCAGAUGUGAAAACCACGGGCUCAACCUGUGGCCUGCAUUUGAAACUGUUUUUCUUGAGUACUGGUGAGGCAGACGGAAUUCCUAGUGUAGCGGGGAAAUGCGUAGAUAUUAGGAAGAACACCAGUGGCGAAGGCGGUCUGCUGGACAGCAACUGACGCUGAGGCGCGAAAGCGUGGGGAGCAAACAGGAUUAGAUACCCUAGUAGUC